rnacentral:rRNA from 1 species
AGAGUUUGAUCAUGGCUCAGAUUGAACGCUGGCGGUAUGCUUAACACAUGCAAGUCGAACGGAAACGAUGGUAGCUUGCUACCAGGCGUCAAGUGGCGGACGGGUGAGUAACGCGUAGGAAUCUGCCUAGUAGUGGGGGACAACCAGGGGAAACCCUGGCUAAUACCGCAUAAUCUCUACGGAGAAAAGAGGGCCUCUUCUUGAAAGCUCUUGCUAUUAGAUGAGCCUGCGUGAGAUUAGCUAGUUGGUGAGGUAAAGGCUCACCAAGGCGACGAUCUCUAGCUGGUCUGAGAGGACGAUCAGCCACACUGGGACUGAGACACGGCCCAGACUCCUACGGGAGGCAGCAGUGGGGAAUAUUGGACAAUGGGCGCAAGCCUGAUCCAGCAAUACCGCGUGUGUGAAGAAGGCCUGAGGGUUGUAAAGCACUUUCAAUUGUGAAGAAAAGCCUGAGGUUAAUAACCUCGGGUCUUGACGUUAACUUUAGAAGAAGCACCGGCUAACUCUGUGCCAGCAGCCGCGGUAAUACAGAGGGUGCGAGCGUUAAUCGGAAUUACUGGGCGUAAAGAGUACGUAGGCGGUUUAGUAAGUCAGAUGUGAAAGCCCUGGGCUCAACCCCGGAAGUGCAUUGGAAACUGGGCAACUUGAGUAUGGGAGGGGGAGAUGGAAUUAGUGGUGUAGGGGUAAAAUCCGUAGAUAUCACUAGGAAUACCUAAAGCGAAGGCGAUCUCCUGGAACAUUACUGACGCUAAGGUGUGAAAGCGUGGGGAGCAAACGGGAUUAGAUACCCCGGUAGUCCACGCCCUAAACGAUGUUCACUAGUCGUCGGGAUGCUAGUCAUCUCGGUGAUGCACUUAACAGAUUAAGUGAACCGCCUGGGGAGUACGGUCGCAAGAUUAAAACUCAAAGGAAUAGACGGGGACCCGCACAAGUGGUGGAGCAUGUGGUUUAAUUCGAAAAUACGCGAAGAACCUUACCUAGCCUUGACAUUGAUUGAACGGACCAGAGAUGGACCGGUGCCCUUCGGGGAACAUGAAAACAGGUGCUGCACGGCUGUCGUCAGCUCGUGUCGUGAGAUGUUGGGUUAAGUCCCGCAACGAGCGCAACCCUCGUCUUUAGUUGCCAGCAGGUUAAGCUGGGCACUCUAAAGAGACUGCCUUCGCAAGGAGGAGGAAGGUGAGGACGACGUCAAGUCAUCAUGGCCCUUAUGGCUAGGGCUACACACGUGCUACAAUGGGGCGUACAGAGGGCAGCAAUACCGCGAGGUGGAGCGAAUCCCACAAAGCUUGUCGUAGUCCGGAUCGGAGUCUGCAACUCGACUCCGUGAAGUCGGAAUCGCUAGUAAUCGUAGAUCAGAAUGCUACGGUGAAUACGUUCCCGGGCCUUGUACACACCGCCCGUCACACCAUGGGAGUGGGUUGCAAAAGAAGUGGCUAGUUUAACCUUCGGGAGGACGGUCACCACUUUGUGAUUCAUGACUGGGGUGAAGUCGGAACAAGGUAACC